ensembl:snoRNA SNORA71 Small nucleolar RNA SNORA71
UCCUGCAUUCGAAAGUGAUCAUGGGCUGCUUGUGCCCUGGUCAUUGAUAGUGCAGGAAGAAGAAUGGCUGGAAGACAUUUUCCCCGUGUUUGGAGGGUCCACCCAUCCCUUCCAAACCCUGUAGUUUUCCCACA